rnacentral:sRNA from 1 species
UCUCUCCAUCAUCUCUAUUUUCCCUUUAUUUCCUGGCAAUUCUCUUGUUUUGUGUGUGCCGUGCCCAUCUCUUCCUCUUGACCCCCACUGCCAGUGUCACCUGGCCCAGCUGUGCCGCAGCUGAAACUGCCCUCGAGUUCUCGACAUGGUGACUAUGUCCACUUCCCUUCUUCCCUGAUGCAAUUUCGCCUAAAAUUAUGCACAGACUGAUUCCUGCUACUGGGAUAUUUGAUCUUCUCAGGACUGUGGCUGGCUGAGGUUUCCUGUUCACUUGAUUGAUCUCAUUUUCUUGUUGUAUACAUGAUCAGCUAUUGCUCUACAUCCUAUAUUUGAUAUUCUGGUUCUGAACUCCUAUCUUAUUAGCGCUGCUAAUACUAUCCUGUCUAUGCCUUGGUGCUUGCUGUCCUUAAUUUCUCCCUUUUGCAAUCAGUCGGCAAACCCGAUGUUUCUCACCUGUGGUGCACGCAUGUUCUCCUGUAGGGUAGAAGCACCACAAUUUCACAAGUUUUCUUGGAUGUGCCUCAUAAUUGUCUGAAAUUAUUGUGUCGCUCUGGAUCAUUUUCCACAUGGUCUUACUGAUUAAAAUCACUGAACGUUCUCAGGAUCCACACUCUUAAGCAAGAAAAGAUGGCACUGAAACUUGACUAUUGAAGCUUGUCAAAUUCGUGCUACAGUAUGCAGUACUCUCAAUAAUCACCGUACCACUGUGCAUCUUACCAUACAUUGCCAUACCUUUCUAACGCAUAGAAACUUCAGCCCAUGCCAGCCGGGAUAAUGUACGGCCGAACAUAGUCAUCUCCUAGGAUAUCCUGACGAUAUUCUUCGCCCGGGCAUGUCUCUGCUCGCAUAUGCAGCCCAUUCCCGGAUGUCACGAGCAAAACGCCGCGCGGUUCCCCUUUUCACUCCUUGUUCCAUGAAGAAAUUAGGAUCCUGAUCCUCUAACACCAGCUCAAGAUCAAGAUGAUGUGCCAGAGUCACUUCACAUGCUUUUCUGAUGUCGGCUUUGUAUGUCUCGCCAGUGGCCUUCGAUUCCAGCCACUUGGAGCUGCGUCUCGGGCAUAGUAAUCAGUAUCAAGAGAGCAACGGAAUUAACAUUGAUAUAGGAGCAAUGAUGCAUAUCAAACUGGAAUAACCGUUCGCAACAGAACGCGCACACUCUCAGUUGUUUUAACACGCAGCAGCAUCACCACUUUCUUUAUCUGUAACACCAUUAGUGUGGCGUCGGAUGGUCUGCAAAGCUUGGGUGAACUUUGUGAGGAGAAAAGGGAAGAUGGAGCAAUGAAAGCAAAGUGGGAGGAGGGCUGGCUUUAUAUGCCUUCAGCCCUCUGGUCUACGCUAAUUGUCCUCCUUCGAGACCGGAUGGUGACCAUGAAGGACCGCAUCGUCCACCUCAUUCAUUCGUGAUGAGCUACGGACAGUUUAUUGAUUGAACAUGCUCGGAGCAACGGCGCCUACAAACAGAGGGAGAUUCCUCUUCCCAGUGAUGUACGAUGAGUGAUGUUUACAAAAUUUGACUAAGUUCCGUCAAUUACUGAACUAUAUUAGAAAAUCAAACAAGACAGAUCUUGUGCCGGAUAAAAGGCAAAGUGAUGAAGAUUCAGCAUUAAAACAAGCAGGAUUGUUACUGACAAAGAAAUAUGAAGAAAGGAAGAAAGGAAAGAAA